GUUAAUGAAGUUGAAUGGAAAUUCUUGAAAAUGAGUGAAAGAAAUAAAGCUAAUAAAGCAAAACAAGAAAUACCUCAUAUUUGUGGAAGAAAAUCCUUCCGAGCAAUAUCUUUUGAAAAGAGAGACACAAACACUAGAAAAGAGCCAAAUUUUUUGAAACUUUGGGAGUUGACUCACAUGAAGAACGGACAUUGGGUUAAUGAUGUAUCUUCUGAA